rnacentral:misc_RNA from 1 species
GAUGAAGAACGCAGCGAAAUGCGAUAAGUAAUGUGAAUUGCAGAAUUCAGUGAAUCAUCGAAUCUUUGAACGCACAUUGCGCCCGCCAGCACUCUGGCGGGCAUGCCUGUUCGAGCGUCAUUUCAACCAUCAAGCCCCCAGGGGCUUGUGCUGGGGCCCUGCGGCUGCCCGCAGGCCCUGAAAACCAGUGGCGGGCUCGCUAGUCACACCGAGCGCAGUAGCACAUCUCGCUCAGGGCGUGCGGCGGGCUCCUGCCGUGAAACCCCCCACUGUAACCCCAAAGGUUGACCUCGGAUCAGGUAGGACUACCCGCUGAACUUAAGCAUAUCAAUAAGCGGAGGA